AGCUCAUUUUGGUUGUCGAAGCAGCUGGCGCCCACUCUGUUGAUUGAUCUGCUAACCCAGUACGGCGGUUCGAAUCCGCCCGUCACCCCCA
rnacentral:tRNA from 1 species